rnacentral:tRNA from 2 species
GCCCUCGUAGCUCAGCAGGAUAGAGCGGCGCUUUCCUAAAGCGCAGGCCACAGGUUCGACUCCUGUCGGGGGUA